GGAGGCUAUAUACAGGGGGUACCGGUACAGAGUCAAUGUGGAGGCUAUAUACAGGGGGUACCGGUACAGAGUCAAUGUGGAGGCUAUAUACAGGGGGUACCGGUACAGAGUCAAUGUGGAGGCUAUAUACAGGGAGUACCGGUACAGAGUUAAUGUGGAGGCUAUAUACAGGGAGUACUGGUACAGAGUCAAUGUGGAGGCUAUAUACAGGGGGUACCGGUACAGAGUCAAUGUGGAGGCUAUAUACAGGGGGUACCGGUACAGAGUAAAUAUGGAGGCUAUAUACAGGGGUACUGGUACAGAGUCAAUGUGGAGGCUAUAUACAGGGGUACUGGUACAGAGUCAAUGUGGAGGCUAUAUACAGGGGGUACCGGUACAGAGUCAAUGUGGAGGCUAUAUACAGGGGUACCGGUACAGAGUAAAUAUGGAGGCUAUAUACAGGGGUACUGGUACAGAGUCAAUGUGGAGGCUAUAUACAGGGGGUACCGGUACAGAGUCAAUGUGGAGGCUAUAUACAGGAGUACUGGUACAGAGUCAAUGUGGAGGCUAUAUACAGGGGGUACUGGUACAGAGUCAAUGUGGAGGCUAUAUACAGGGGUACCAGUACAGAGUCAAUGUGGAGGCUAUAUACAUGGGGUACCAGUACAGAGUCAAUGUGGAGGCUAUAUAGAGGGAGUACCGGUACAGAGUCAAUGUGGAGGCUAUAUACAGGAGGAACCGGUACAGAGUCAAUGUGGAGGCUAUAUACAGGGGGUACCGGUACAGAGUCAAUGUGGAGGCUAUUUACAGGGGGUACCGGUACAGAGUCAAUGUGGAGGCUAUAUACAUGGGGUACCGGUACAGAGUCAAUGUGGAGGCUAUAUACAGGGGGUACCGGUACAGAGUCAAUGUGGAGGCUAUAUACAGG
ensembl:lncRNA